ACUCCUGCGGGAGGCAGCAGUGGGGAAUUUUGGACAGUGGGCGAAAGCCUGAUCCAGCAAUGCCGCGUGAGUGAAGAAGGCCUUCGGGUUGUAAAGCUCUUUUGUCAGGGAAGAAACGGUGAGAGCUAAUAUCUCUUGCUAAUGACGGUACCUGAAGAAUAAGCACCGGCUAACUACGUGCCAGCAGCCGCGGUAAUACGUAGGGUGCAAGCGUUAAUCGGAAUUACUGGGCGUAAAGCGUGCGCAGGCGGUUUUGUAAGUCUGAUGUGAAAUCCCCGGGCUCAACCUGGGAAUUGCAUUGGAGACUGCAAGGCUAGAAUCUGGCAGAGGGGGGUAGAAUUCCACGUGUAGCAGUGAAAUGCGUAGAUAUGUGGAGGAACACCGAUGGCGAAGGCAGCCCCCUGGGUCAAGAUUGACGCUCAUGCACGAAAGCGUGGGGAGCAAACAGGAUUAGAUACCCCAGUAGUCC
rnacentral:rRNA from 1 species